AGCAGCCGCGGUAAUUCCAGCUCCAAUAGCGUAUAUUAAAGUUGUUGCAGUUAAAAAGCUCGUAGUUGAAUUUCGAGAUCAAAUUGUUGGUCGUGCCUCGGUACGUACUGGCAUUAUUGAUUUCUCCCUUCUGACGAUCCGCGAUGUCAUUAAUUUGGUGUCGUGGGGAAUCAGGACUGUUACUUUGAAAAAAUUAGAGUGUUUAAAGCAGGCUCACGCUUGAAUACAUUAGCAUGGAAUAAUGAAAUAGGACGUUUGAUUCUAUUUUGUUGGUUUCU
rnacentral:rRNA from 1 species